rnacentral:rRNA from 1 species
ACGCUGGCGGGGUGCCUAAUACAUGCAAGUAGAACGCUGAAGCUUGGUGCUUGCACCGAGCGGAUGAGUUGCGAACGGGUGAGUAACGCGUAGGUAACCUGCCUCUUAGCGGGGGAUAACUAUUGGAAACGAUAGCUAAUACCGCAUAAAAGUCGACAUUGCAUGAUGUUGACUUGAAAGGUGCAACUGCACCACUAAGAGAUGGACCUGCGUUGUAUUAGCUAGUUGGUGAGGUAACGGCUCACCAAGGCGACGAUACAUAGCCGACCUGAGAGGGUGAUCGGCCACACUGGGACUGAGACACGGCCCAGACUCCUACGGGAGGCAGCAGUAGGGAAUCUUCGGCAAUGGACGGAAGUCUGACCGAGCAACGCCGCGUGAGUGAAGAAGGUUUUCGGAUCGUAAAGCUCUGUUGUAAGAGAAGAACGAGUGUGAGAGUGGAAAGUUCACACUGUGACGGUAACUUACCAGAAAGGGACGGCUAACUACGUGCCAGCAGCCGCGGUAAUACGUAGGUCCCGAGCGUUAUCCGGAUUUAUUGGGCGUAAAGCGAGCGCAGGCGGUUAGAUAAGUCUGAAGUUAAAGGCUGUGGCUUAACCAUAGUACGCUUUGGAAACUGUUUAACUUGAGUGCAGAAGGGGAGAGUGGAAUUCCAUGUGUAGCGGUGAAAUGCGUAGAUAUAUGGAGGAACACCGGUGGCGAAAGCGGCUCUCUGGUCUGUAACUGACGCUGAGGCUCGAAAGCGUGGGGAGCAAACAGGAUUAGAUACCCUGGUAGUCCACGCCGUAAACGAUGAGUGCUAGGUGUUGGGUCCUUUCCGGGACUCAGUGCCGCAGCUAACGCAUUAAGCACUCCGCCUGGGGAGUACGACCGCAAGGUUGAAACUCAAAGGAAUUGACGGGGGCCCGCA